rnacentral:rRNA from 1 species
CCUACGGGAGGCUGCAGUGAGGAAUAUUGGUCAAUGGACGAGAGUCUGAACCAGCCAAGUAGCGUGAAGGAUGACUGCCCUAUGGGUUGUAAACUUCUUUUAUAAAGGAAUAAAACGAGGCACGUGUGCCUUUUUGCAUGGACUUUAUGAAUAAGGAUCGGCUAACUCCGUGCCAGCAGCCGCGGUAAUACGGAGGAUCCGAGCGUUAUCCGGAUUUCUUGGGUUUAAAGGGAGCGUAGAUGGGUUGUUAAGUCAGUUGUGAAAGUUUGCGGCUCAACCGUAAAAUUGCAAUUGAUACUGGCAGUCUUGAGUACAGUUGAGGUAGGCGGAAUUCGUGGUGUAGCGGUGAAAUGCUUAGAUAUCACGAAGAACCCCGAUUGCGAAGGCAGCUUACUAAACUGUGACUGACAUUGAUGCUCGAAAGUGUGGGUAUCAAACAGGAUUAGAUACCCCAGUAGUC